rnacentral:rRNA from 1 species
UUCUUUUGGAGAGUUUGAUCCUGGCUCAGGAUAAACGCUGGCGGCGUGCAUGAGACAUGCAAGUCGAACGGACGACUCGGGCUUGCUCGAGUCGUUAGUGGCGGACGGCUGAGUAACGCGUAGGUGACCUGCCCCGAAGUGGGGAAUAACUGCCCGAA